AUGGCCUCCAAGCCGGCUGCCGGGCGGAGCCCUGGGGAGAAGCGCAAGAGGGUGGUGCUGACGCUGAAGGAGAAGAUGGACAUCUGCCGGCGCCUGGAGAAGGGCGAGAGCAGGCGGGCGCUGAUGCAGGAGUACAACGUGGGCAUGUCCACCCUGUACGACAUCAGGGCCCACAAGGCCCAGCUGCUUCGCUUCUUCGCCAGCUCUGACUCGGACAAGGCGCUGGCGCAGCGCCGCACCCUGCACACACCCAAGCUGGAGCACCUGGACCGCGUGCUGUAUGAGUGGUUCCUGGUGAAGCGGUCCGAGGGAGUGCCCGUCUCGGGCCCCAUGCUCAUCGAAAAGGCCAAGGACUUCUACGAGCAGAUGCAGCUGACCGAGCCCUGCGUGUUUUCUGGCGGCUGGCUCUGGCGCUUUAAGGCCAGACAUGGCAUCAAGAAGCUGGAUGCGUCUAGCGAAAAGCAGGCGGCCGACCAGCAGGCAGCUGAGCAGUUCUGCGGGUUCUUCCGGAGCUUAACCGCCGAGCACGGCCUGUCCCCAGAGCAGGUCUACAAUGCCGACGAGACCGGCCUCUUCUGGCGCUGCUCCCCCAGCCCCAGCCCAGAGGGUGGGCCAACGCCCAGCCCCACGCAGAGCAAGGACCGGCUGACCGUCCUCAUGUGUGCCAACGCCACGGGCUCCCACAGGAUCAAACCCUUGGUGGUCGGGAAAUGGGGUGGCCCCAAGGCGGUGCAGGGCCUCCAGCACCUGCCUGUUGUGUACAAGGCCCAAGGCAGCGCCUGGGUGGACAAGGAGAUUUUUGCUGACUGGUUCCAUCAUAUCUUCGUGCCCGCAGUGAAGGAGCACUUCCGAGCCGUGGCCCUGCCAGAGGACAGCAAGGCCAUCCUCCUCCUGGACGGGUCCCGGGCUCACCCGCACGAAGCUGAGCUGGCCUCGGAGAAUGUCUUCACCAUCUUCCUGCCUGCCAGCGUCACCACCCUGCUCCAGCCCAUGGACCAGGGCAUUCGGAGGGACUUCAUGAGGAACUUCGUCACGCCCCACGGCAGGCUGCAGGCCUUGGCCCCCCGCUGCAGUGUGCAUGACGCCGUGCUCGACGUGGCCUGCGCCUGGGAUGCAGUGCCAGGCACCGUCCUCAGCCGGGCCUGGAGGAAGCUGUGGCCCGAGGCUGCACUCAUAGAGGGCUCAUCCUCCGAGGAGGAGCCGGAGCGGCUCAGGACUAAGCCCCCGACCAGGCCUUUGCGCACACCCCCGGGCUCGCAGCAGGCACCCCGGCCCGCCUCGGGAGCGUGGCCUCAGGGAGCCUGGAGCCGGCGGAGGCUGGGGGGUUGGACAGAGCAGCCUGGGAGCACGCGGCGGUGUCCUUUGACGCCGUGGUGCGCUUCGCAGAGGCACAGCCCUGCUUCUCGGCACAGGAGCUGGGCCAGCUGCGCGCACUGCACUCCGUGUUCAGCAGGCGGUGGCAGGCACAGCGGCGCGGGGCCCCCACAGCCGCGGUCAAGCUCGAGGCGCCCUGGGAGCGCCCUGGGCCUCGCGGCACCCAGCCUUGCUCCCCACUGCCCAGCUCGUCCACGGCCGGCGAGGCCUGAGGCAGUGAGGCCUGACCUGCAGUCUCGGAGUCCCGUUCCUCAGAACAGCCUGCCCCGUCGAGGUUUUGCCGUGUGGUCUGUCCUGCCACCUGAGCGCGAGGAGGUCUUCCUCAAGGGCCCACCCAGACCUGAAAUGUCCCAGAACCUCCAGGGGCUGCCACCCAGCUUGUAUUUGCUGCCUAAGCCUUGUGUGCAAGGGUAG
rnacentral:lncRNA from 1 species